UACGGAGGAUCCGAGCGUUAUCCGGAUUUAUUGGGUUUAAAGGGUGCGUAGGCGGUUUGAUAAGUUAGAGGUGAAAUGUCGGGGCUCAACCCCGAAACUGCCUCUAAUACUGUUGGACUAGAGAAUAGUCGCGGUAGGCGGAAUGUAUGGUGUAGCGGUGAAAUGCUUAGAGAUCAUACAGAACACCGAUUGCGAAGGCAGCUUACCAAACUAUAUCUGACGUUGAGGCACGAAAGCGUGGGUAGCAAACAGG
rnacentral:rRNA from 1 species